rnacentral:misc_RNA from 1 species
GGGUAGCCCUACCAACAGGCACAGUGAUAGGAGAUCCGGUGUUCAACACCCUCUGACCACGCACAAGCCCCUCAGUCCCAUCCAUAGCAAUCGUCCUCACCGUGCUCUCCCCCAAAUGCUGCGCCACCUCCAACACAAGCCGGAUCGAGUUAUCCAGCACCUCCAGCGCAGUCAAGAUCGGCGGCAGACCGUCAUUGAACCGGACAUCCACCACGGCCCCGAUCACCUGGCAGACCUGCCCGAUCGAUCCAGCUCCGGUGAAUUCGUCCGUGAUCUUGCCGCUGGGGCCAUCGGAGACCUUCGCCGGCGGCGCCGGCGCAGCCGCCGCUGCUGCGGUGGCGUAUUCGGCGGCGCGGGAGAGGAGGAGGCCGACGGGAGAGGGGCGGGAGAUCGGGGCGCGGGGGGAGACGAGGGCAGAGGGGGCCGUCGGACGGCGGCGGGCGGAGGAGCGAAGGAGGGAGGAGAGGACGCGGCGAGUAGCCAUGAGAAGAUAUGGAGCGACGGCGAUGGAGAUCUAGGGUUUGGGAGCUGGGGUUUGAUGAGAUCAGUGGGAGAGAGUGAAGGAUCGGAGCAUCGCCGUUGCGAUAGGU